ACGUUAGCGGCGGACGGGUGAGUAACACGUGGGUAACCUACCUAUAAGACUGGGAUAACUCCGGGAAACCGGGGCUAAUACCGGAUAACACAUGAAACCGCAUGGUUUCAUGAUGAAGGACGGUUUUGCUGUCACUUAUAGAUGGACCCGCGGCGUAUUAGCUAGUUGGUAAGGUAACGGCUUACCAAGGCAACGAUACGUAGCCGACCUGAGAGGGUGAUCGGCCACACUGGAACUGAGACACGGUCCAG
rnacentral:rRNA from 1 species